rnacentral:rRNA from 1 species
UUCUACGGCCAUGUCAACCUGAACAAGCUCGAUUCCGUCUGAUCUCCAAAGCUAAGCAGGGUUGGACCUGGUUACUACUUGGAUAGAAGACCACCAAGGAAGACCAGGUGCUGUAGGUG